CACUCUCAGGUUCAAACGGGGAGCUCCAACACAUCCAAGAGGGAAUCCCUCCUUAAAUUUUGUGUCUGCUCCACACCAACCUCUUGGUUAGUCCCUAUUUAGCUUUGGCUUCUCCCUCCCCACCCUCUAUGUGGGCAAGGCUUCCACUGACAGGCCAGCAUUCUCUGCUACGUCACUGUGGUUUCUACUCAGCACCCCAGUCUGGGGUCCCGGCUCCGUCCUCCUCACGGUGGUCCUCCUGCUUAGACUAAGUGUGUGUAUCUGGCAUAAGUGUUAUCUCUGGGACCUCCAGCACUGCUCCACAGACCUGACCGGGAAGACGGCAGUGGUGACUGGGGCCAACAGUGGCAUCGGGAAGAGCGUGUCCCAGGAGCUGGCCCGCCGCGGGGCGCGUGUGAUCCUGGCCUGCCACAGCCGUGAGUGUGGACAGCAAGCCCUGGCCGAGAUACGAGCAGCCUCACAGAGCAACCAGCUCCUGCUUGGAUUGCCCACAACACGUACCCCAGAGGGCCUUGAUGUCACCUUUGCCACCAACUACAUUGGACCCUUUCUGCUCACAAAUCUGCUCCAAGGUA